rnacentral:rRNA from 1 species
GACAGAGGAUGCAAGCGUUAUCCGGAAUGAUUGGGCGUAAAGCGUCCGCAGGUGGCAAUGUAAGUCUGCUGUUAAAGAGUCUAGCUCAACUAGAUAAAAGCAGUGGAAACUACAUAGCUAGAGUACGUUCGGGGCAGAGGGAAUUCCUGGUGUAGCGGUGAAAUGCGUAGAUAUCUGGAGGAACACCGGUGGCGAAGGCGGCAUCCUGGACCAAUAUUGACGCUGAGGAGCGAAAGCCAGGGGAGCAAACGGG